rnacentral:rRNA from 1 species
GGGUUGUGAGGUUAAGCGACUAAGCGUACACGGUGGAUGCCUAGGCAGUCAGAGGCGAUGAAGGGCGUGCUAAUCUGCGAAAAGCGUCGGUAAGCUGAUAUGAAGCGUAAUAACCGACGAUACCCGAAUGGGGAAACCCAGUGCAAUUCGUUGCACUAUUGCAUGGUGAAUACAUAGCCAUGCAAGGCGAACCGGGGGAACUGAAACAUCUAAGUACCCCGAGGAAAAGAAAUCAACCGAGAUUCCCCCAGUAGCGGCGAGCGAACGGGGAAGAGCCCAGAGUCUGAAUCAGUUGGUGUGUUAGUGGAAGCGUCUGGAAAGUCGCACGGUACAGGGUGAUAGUCCCGUACACAAAAACACACUGGCUGUGAACUCGAUGAGUAGGGCGGGACACGUGACAUCCUGUCUGAAUAUGGGGGGACCAUCCUCCAAGGCUAAAUACUCCUGACUGACCGAUAGUGAACCAGUACCGUGAGGGAAAGGCGAAAAGAACCCCGGCGAGGGGAGUGAAAUAGAACCUGAAACCGUGUACGUACAAGCAGUGGGAGCACCUUCGUGGUGUGACUGCGUACCUUUUGUAUAAUGGGUCAGCGACUUAUAUUUUGUAGCAAGGUUAACCGAAUAGGGGAGCCGUAGGGAAACCGAGUCUUAACUGGGCGUCUAGUUGCAAGGUAUAGACCCGAAACCCGGUGAUCUAGCCAUGGGCAGGUUGAAGGUUGGGUAACACUAACUGGAGGACCGAACCGACUAAUGUUGAAAAAUUAGCGGAUGACUUGUGGCUGGGGGUGAAAGGCCAAUCAAACCGGGAGAUAGCUGGUUCUCCCCGAAAGCUAUUUAGGUAGCGCCUCGUGAACUCAUCUUCGGGGGUAGAGCACUGUUUCGGCUAGGGGUCCAUCCCGGAUUACCAAACCGAUGCAAACUCCGAAUACCGAAGAAUGUUAUCACGGGAGACACACGGCGGGUGCUAACGUCCGUCGUGAAGAGGGAAACAACCCAGACCGCCAGCUAAGGUCCCAAAGUCAUGGUUAAGUGGGAAACGAUGUGGGAAGGCAUAGACAGCCAGGAUGUUGGCUUAGAAGCAGCCAUCAUUUAAAGAAAGCGUAAUAGCUCACUGGUCGAGUCGGCCUGCGCGGAAGAUGUAACGGGGCUAAACCAUGCACCGAAGCUGCGGCAGCGACGCUUAGGCGUUGUUGGGUAGGGGAGCGUUCUGUAAGCCGUUGAAGGUGGCCUGUGAGGGCUGCUGGAGGUAUCAGAAGUGCGAAUGCUGACAUAAGUAACGAUAAUGCGGGUGAAAAACCCGCACGCCGGAAGACCAAGGGUUCCUGUCCAACGUUAAUCGGGGCAGGGUGAGUCGACCCCUAAGGCGAGGCUGAAAAGCGUAGUCGAUGGGAAACAGGUUAAUAUUCCUGUACUGGGUGUGACUGCGAAGGGGGGACGGAGAAGGCUAGGCUAGCCGGGCGACGGUUGUCCCGGUUUAAGCAUGUAGGCGGAGCGACUUGGUAAAUCCGGUUGCUUAUCAACGCUGAGGUGUGAUGACGAGCCACUACGGUGGUGAAGUAGUUGAUGCCAAGCUUCCAGGAAAAGCCUCUAAGCAUCAGGUGACAUUCAAUCGUACCCCAAACCGACACAGGUGGUCAGGUAGAGAAUACUCAGGCGCUUGAGAGAACUCGGGUGAAGGAACUAGGCAAAAUGGUGCCGUAACUUCGGGAGAAGGCACGCUGGCAUUAGGUAAAGAGACUUGCUCUCGGCGCCGAAGCCAGUCGCAGAUACCAGCUGGCUGCAACUGUUUAAUAAAAACACAGCACUGUGCAAACACGAAAGUGGACGUAUACGGUGUGACGCCUGCCCGGUGCUGGAAGGUUAAUUGAUGGGGUCAGCCGCAAGGCGAAGCUCUUGAUCGAAGCCCCAGUAAACGGCGGCCGUAACUAUAACGGUCCUAAGGUAGCGAAAUUCCUUGUCGGGUAAGUUCCGACCUGCACGAAUGGCGUAAUGAUGGCCAGGCUGUCUCCACCCGAGACUCAGUGAAAUUGAACUCGCUGUGAAGAUGCAGUGUACCCGCGGCAAGACGGAAAGACCCCGUGAACCUUUACUAUAGCUUGACACUGAAUAUUGAGCCUUGAUGUGUAGGAUAGGUGGGAGGCAUCGAAGCGUGGACGCCAGUCUGCGUGGAGCCAACCUUGAAAUACCACCCUUUAAUGUUUGAUGUUCUAACUCGGCCCCAUAAUCUGGGGUGAGGACAGUGUCUGGUGGGUAGUUUGACUGGGGCGGUCUCCUCCCAAAGAGUAACGGAGGAGCACGAAGGUUAGCUAAUCACGGUCGGACAUCGUGAGGUUAGUGCAAAGGCAUAAGCUAGCUUGACUGCGAGAGUGACGGCUCGAGCAGGUACGAAAGUAGGUCUUAGUGAUCCGGUGGUUCUGAAUGGAAGGGCCAUCGCUCAACGGAUAAAAGGUACUCCGGGGAUAACAGGCUGAUACCGCCCAAGAGUUCAUAUCGACGGCGGUGUUUGGCACCUCGAUGUCGGCUCAUC